rnacentral:tmRNA from 1 species
GGGGGCGACCCGGUUUCGACGGGGAUCGCGGAAGGUGAGGCUGCGAGCCGAGGUGCCGUUGGCCUCGUAAAAAAACGGCACGCCUAUAACUGGCAACCAGAACUACCAACUCGCUGCUUAAUUGACGGCGACGGUGACCGCGUAGCCCCGCCCUUGGCGCCGCGCGAACUGUGACAAAAAAGGGCUAGCAAGGACCGAGGCCUCAUAGGUCCGCGCGAAACUUAAAUGAGGAUGGGUCCAAAGGCAGCCUGUCCGUAGGCGACCCAGGACCGACAUUCAAAUUACGGACUACGCUCGUAGAUGCCCGCUGGACGGGUUCUCGGACGAGAGUUCGACUCUCUCCGCCUCCACCA